rnacentral:lncRNA from 1 species
CAGCGGAAAUAAAUUCUUUAUUACAAAAUGAUUACAAGUUACAACAUUUAUAAGUUAUAACCAUAUUACAAUAUAUCAUCGGAGUGAUUACAAGAGAAUUUGAUUCAAAAAUAUUACAAUUUGAAUGUAUAAAACAUUUAUAAGUUUUAAAAUACAUGCUAGCUUAAGUGACAGUCCUCCAUAAAGAAGCUAAAGAUGGGAUAUACUUAUAUAAGAAGGUCGAGCCCACCGACACUUAGCACCAUCCACAACAGAACAAACUUAUAACCUGAAAAACAACAGGGAAUAAAGCCCUGAGUACGCAAUUACUCAGCAAGACUUACCCGACUAAAGAAAAGACUCUCAAGGGUAUGCUGGUUUGUUGGGAAUCAAGGUAAAGCUCAUCAAAUUUCAAAGACUCGUUUUUGCAGAAAAGCUUACUAGUAGUGGAUCCUUAUGCCAAACUUUUACUUCACAAAUUAAGUAUUUUUCCUGAAUCUAGAUUUGCCUGAUCUAGAGCAUUCACUUGUCCUACACUAACUUCAUUUUAUCCACUUUAGUUUCACUUGUUAUCUACGCUGAAGGUCGAAGAUCCAGUCUUCAUAUCCGAGAAGUUCGGCGAUCCGAAUCGAUUAAUACCCAGCUGGGGAUCUCCAACCACACGACAUAUGUAGCACUUAACCCUUGCAUAUGUCAACUCGCCCACGGGUUUCUCAAGACCAGAACGGGUCCCCGCCAACCGAGAGCUCAGUACCCCACCAUCCAGCCUCUUGCCAGGUGGAUACACGAUACUCUCGCCAUCUCUCCACUCCCAUUGCGGGCCGGCCUUUCUGGUAUUGGUCCGACCGAGGCUAAGCUUACCCAUGAUGAGGCAUGUGGCCAGUUAAAGGGUCCUAGAUCAGCAGGCCAACAAUCGGAACGGUCCUUAAUCGACACAGACGGGCGACCUUUCCUGCUCAACGUCUGGUCUCAUCUUAUUAUUUAACACCCAAACCAUGUACCUGACAGAGGUACAAUACUCGAAUAAUGAAUUCAUCAUCGCGAGUGAUGCCUUCAUUAUUGCAAGUUCCUUUUUCAUAAAACCCAUAUCCAAUGUUGCACAACAUUCUUUUUAAAAGAAACAACUUUUAGUUUCUAAGCAGGGCUAAGCCUCAUUAGUUCUCUAUCAAGGAAUAGUAAUCGAAUUCCAAGGAAUGGCAAUACAUCAAUUGUUUCAUCACUCAACUCCUAUCACCUAAUGCAGCAUAUAAGUGAUAAAAGUUUUAAAACAACAAGGAGGUGGCAAAUGCACCGGAGCUUGCCUGGGAUAAACACUACGUUAGUGUUGUUAAUUGACGACCACUUGGUGAGCAUCUUCCAUUCUGGUGCUGGCUUGAUGCAUCCACAAGAUUAAUCCACCAAUACCGGUUUGCUCUGAUCCAUGUCCUUCAGCUCGCAUAAUCAGCUAGCGUACCUAUUGGAAAUGCAUAAUGCAUAUGAAUAAGAAUAGACAUAAAUGACACAGGAUAGGUAAACUACACUGAAGAGGGCAAAACACUUCUGGCAGAGCGCUACAAUUCCUAUGAGCAAACACUAGUUAACUUUGACUCUACAACAAUCACACACUUGGAGUUACUUAUUCUCAGCUCAACCAUCAAGCACAAUAACUCAACACAAAUAUUCAGCUAAGACGUAACCUCAAUAGAUUGCAAUACUUAUGGCAAGACAAAUGUAAACAUUUAAAAGCAAGCAUAUACUAGGUAUCUAUAAAUUACUAAGUAUAAGAAUCACACUUUUCUUAAAUAGCCGGAGCAAACAUCACAAUUUAAAAUCUACAAACUUAAAGUACUAACGUGCAAUUCUCACUAUGAAAUUUUCAUAACUUUUGCUGAAGUGGAACAACGAUGAUAUUUGCCUCCAACUGACUAAAAUAACGAUGACCAUUUAUUCAAGGCGAUUAGCUUAAACGCUCAAUUUUGAUUUAUGACAUUUAAUCAAUAAACAAACAUAGAAUAUGACCAUUACUAACACAAGCCAUCACUUCAGCAAUUAAAAAUCAACUAAACUUACUUAGCCAAACAAGAGUAAAGUUAAGCAUUCAACAUUUUCAGAAUUUCUGGACAGCCGUACUGUAGUCAAUUGUUUUGCUCAUAACUCACAAAAUAUUCAUCCAAAAAUAGUGAACUAAGACUUUCUAGAAAGCUUAUGAAAUCCCCUAUAACUUUUGUAUUAUCAGCAUAACAUGAUUUGGCAUUUUGAAAGGUCAAUCAGUGCUAAACGUAAAUUCUGUCCAGAUUUGGACAAAAUUCGACUACUCACUUCAAAAAUCCAUAACUGGAGAUUUAGACAUCCAAAACAUGUGAUCCUAGACUUUUUAGAAAGCUAAUAAAAUUGUCUACAACUCAUUUAUAAUCAUCUCUAGUUAAUUCAAUGCGUAGAAAGGUCAGUUAACACAAACAGUCUCUUCUGUCCAGAUUUGGACAGAUUCAGACUUCAUAUUUCAAACAGCCAUAACUUGACUUCUAGACCACCAAAAAGGGUGAUCCAAAAUUUGUUGGAAAGCUUAAGAAAAGUACUACAAUUCUUCUAUAAUUACUAAGAGCUGAUUCUCAGUUUAACUUGGACAAACAAGGUCAUUUUCGAAAUCAGUACAGAAUCUGGACAGAUUCUGAAACUGGACUUGGAAAAAUCAUAACUCCUAAACUACUGAACCUAUGGUCAUGGAAUUUUUACACAAUCAAGGUAAAAAGAUUAUCUACAAGUUUUAUAUAUAACACUUUUACAGAAAACACGGUUUACUUUACUUAACUAGCCACGUAAUAAAAUUGGACAUGCAGUCCAAACAGCAAGAACUCUAACUUAGAUCUUAUUUAACUUCUACACUUAUCAUGCUUUUAACAUUUAGAACACUCAACACUUUAUCUUUAGUAGAACUAAAACCACAUAAUACAACAAGGCAUUCAUGUCACCAUACAUUAAUUAGAAAUUCACUCAACCACUAAUAAAUCUUAUCGGCAAAGCGCUAUAAGUACUAAACGUUGUUUUUACAUUAUUAACUUGAUCACUCAAUUCAUAUACAAUAACCAAAUCAUUUAUACUUGAGAAAUAUCUUUACCAAAAUACUCUAGGCAUAAUCCACCUACAAGCACCAUGCAUAUCUCUAAUUAGUUUCAUAAUACAAGACAUACAUACUCAUGAAAAUAAUUUCAUUCACACAACACAAAUCAAUUUAAUAGCACAAGCCUUAUAUAUCCACACAACUAAUCAUUCAUCCGACUAACGAAAACAAUGGAUCGACUUACCACGACUAAACUCGACUCGACUCCGCAAGAUCGACAACCACAUCCGGUUGAGGUGAUUCACCAAGCACUUGGCAAGCGCCUCGCUAAAGCUUUCUUCUCAUCUAAAUCUCUACCUCCACCACAAACACACAAACAUACACAUAAUUAGUAUCUAGUAAAUCGACGUCGGGUACAGGUACUAAUGAGGAAUAAACACAAGGAGACAGCGGGUCCUCACCGGGCUGAACGAUGAUGCAAGGAAACUACGCCGUGAGGAGAGGCUCGCUGGUUUCCCAUAACCACGAGCAGGUGACGCGCGCGGUCGACGACCAGACCACGUGGAGGAACUGCAGUAGGGGAUCGACGGCGUUCAUGGCGAGGGGAAAGGAGCUGCUUGCUGCUGGGCGGGGAGAGCGAGCUCGGCUAGGGCUGCAGACAGCCAUGGGAGCAGCCGUGAGGGAGAUGUUUUUUUUUCCCGGGGACCGACGAGCAGGGAGAACGAGGACGCCGGCAAGGGGAACGCACAGCCAGCCACCUGCGCUGGGGAGCUGGGAAAGAUGGCAACCAACAAAGGGACAAGAUGCUCGGAGGGGCACGCGUUCAAGGAGCUGCUGGGCGUGGCCGAGCAGCCUGGCCCUGAGAUGGGAGGCGAGGAGGAAGAUGCACCAGGAAGUGGGCGAGCUCGAGCAAGGAGAGCAUGCGGCGAAGAAGAGGCCGAUGGCCACGGGCUGGGGCGCGGCUUGCUGUGGACAGGAAGCGAGAGAUAAGGCUGACAGGGAGAGAUGCGUACCACUUGAAGAGAUAAGGCUGGGGUGGUAUGAAGGAGACCCCGUAUAGAACCAGAGUACAGAAGUACAGAACCAGAAUGCGGCUGGCGUGCUUGAGCUGAGACGCGUGGAUAGAGAGACUAGAAGCUCCUGACGUAUGGAUAGAGAUGUCCAUCGGAUGCUAAUUCGGAUAAGGAGAAGAGUGGCUUCUGUGAGUGGCUUCUGUAUGAGGAAAGGAAACAUACAAGAGUAUUCCCAGAAGUAGAGCUACGUGGAGAUAACAGAAAAGAGAGGACAUUUUCUCUAUUUAAUUUACGAGCCUGUAAAUUCCACUUUGGACUAGAUUUACGUAUCACUCUUGGUCUUAAAUCCUGCUCUCAUUAAUAUUAUCCUUGCUGUUGCCGAACCAGAAAGAUGGCCCACGAAUUAUGUCUAACAAUCUGAUUCCAUAUGAAUGCUAACAUCACCGUAGAUAUUAUAGGGCUCAACCUCUUAUUAGUCUAUUUCUCAUGAUCCUCAAUUAUUCUGAUUCACUUUAUCUACUAGCGUAAGAACGUGAAAGGCUCUAGAAACUUUUUUUUUGUUAUCAGUCUCCUCUUGACUCACAUUUUUAGCGCAAUAAUUACCUCAAGAUUCAUGCUCAGGAUUAUGACGUGAAUUUAUUAGAGUUUAAACUACAAAAGAUUUAAAUAAUUCGUAUUCGCCUCAAUUUUAUAUUCAGACUUUAAUUAAAUUAAUGUUGUUCCGAAUUAAAGCGACACUGGCCACAAAACCUAGUUUAAGUUCUAGGGUUACGAUUUGGACGAAAAGCAAAUAAACCGGAUUCGAUUUCAAGGAUUAGAGUUUGGGCAAGACGUCGAUGGCUCAACCCGAACGAUAUUGGAUUCGAUAUUUUAAUAGACAUUCGAUUUAGUUGAACCUAAACGAAUUUCGCGGUUAUCUGAACAUUCGGCUAGUAACCAAUUCAAGUAAUAAUUUUACGUCCUAUUUUUCUUGGAUAUGGAACGUGGUCAAAUUUAUAAAAUCAAACUCUUUCUGAAAUCAUAUUCACGUACUCGAUCGAUCUGAACAGCAUAGACUUAAUGUCUUGAAAGAUUUUUAAAGUCCAAAUUUCUCUAAAUUUUAUUUAAACGACUUAGAUAGAUAGAGACAGAUUCGAUAUUAAAAUCAUGAUAUACAAAGAUGACUAGAAUUCAGUGACCAUUUUAUUCAUCGCUAUCACGUGUUAAAGUCCGCACUCAUGGUCGAGCAGACGAUAAACACCUAGGGUGUUACACUUUUCUUCUUUUCUCUAUUUCUAACACUUAGACAAAUAUGUUAGUACACAAAAACCAAUGUACUAAGUCUAGAAACAUACCUUCUCUUGGAUUUUCACCUUUCUAUCAUUUGACAUGCUUAAGAUUGAUGUUGGACUCAUGAAUCAUCAAGUCAGCUUAACUUGAUCUACACUGACAUUUCUGAGCUCCAACAUCCUGUAAAGGUCACAUAGAAUAUCUCCAAACAUAGGAACAACCCAAACUAAAGGUCAGAGUGCACUUAGCUCUUUUGGGCUGCUUCCAGUUCUGUUUUUGACAUUUGUUCUCGUUCUAGUGACCUUGAUCUCCUUAUUAGAGCUUGGUCUUGAGCCUUAUGACUUACACCACAUAACUAUGGACAUUUCCUCAUUGGUUGUAAGUCACGUCCUUAUGUAGUGAUCCUUGAUGUGUCGUAGCUGUUCUCAACUUGAUCACCCUUGACUUUGCAAGCCUUCUUCUUCACCCUUGGCUUUGGGUUCCUCAGCCUCUUUGACCUUCUCCCGUGCAUUUGGUACCUCGAAGCUUUUCUUGCCUCCGUCCUUGGCUUGAUCAGUUGUCUCCGAGCUACGCACCUGAGUCUCACUUUAUGCAAUGUCCAUCUUACUUGUGAUGUCCAUUAUGUAUCCAUAAUCCAGUUCUUGGGCCAUCACAUUUGUUCACUUGUGUUGAACCCUGUUAGCUUUACCUUAAGCACCUAUUCAACACUUAGUACACUUGUUAGUCCUUUAAUUGAGUUGUCAUCCAAACACCAAAACUCACAAGAGAGCUUUCAGUUAGGUGUUACGCUGUUGACUCCCCUUGGUAUCUGGCCCCCACCUGGGAUACAGGCUUGAUGUGUCGAGAUUGGAUUCCAGCGCAUCUGAAAGGGUUGUCAACAAUUCUCGGGGGGCAGCUUCGCCGAGACCCGAAUCUGCACACAGCUUUUAGCUAAGGCGCGUUAGCAGUACACCUGUAGGACCCGCCAUCUGACACUAGCCAUCCUUCGAUACAUGCUCGGGAUUUGUAGGGUCUAGCCUGGGGGAGCCAAGUUGUGUGUCCGGACCCCCUGGAUUGUGGUUCUAGGUACUAGGACACCUGCCGCAGGGUGGUGGAGUGUGCAGGCCCACGGUACGGGACCAGGCUGAGCGGCUACACGGCUCCGGACCACCCCAGGAGACAAGUAUCUUUUCUCUAGUUCCGGACCCCAGGUUGCCGGACCCAUAGGACUUAUAGCUCCAAGUACUAGGACACCAGUCACGGAGUGGUGGAGUGUGCAGGGUUUUGGGUACGAAACCAGGCUAACCGGCCACACAGACUCCGGACCACCCCAUGGAACGGGCUCCCGUUCUCCAGAGCCGGCCCCCAGGUUGUCGGGCCCUCCUGCUUUCAUAUAGUGGUCCUAAACCGCAAGCCUGGCUGUUCAAUUCAGAUGUCAUCAUGCCUGAUAGGAUGGGAACUGGUCGGGUGGGUUAGCUAAAAUAUAAUCCGGAAACUGCAGGAGAAGACCUUGGAGCAGUAGGAUAAUACUAUCAUAGAGGUACACCUGAGAGGGUAGUUUUCUUCUAUAACUUAUCAUGCAUGGGUGCGGACCAACAGGCCGGGUUUAUGGGGACAGACCCCACCGGGUUGGCGUACACGUAUGCUUUACCUAGUUACAAAAAGGAAACACUUCGACCCCUCAGACUUGCUCUAUAGAUAAAACUUACAGAGGUGUUUUGGCACCGGGGAAGGCACCCCUUCAGUUGUAACUAGACAGUCGCCCUUGGGUCGGAGUGUUCCCGUUACCUUGAAGGGUCCUUCCCAGCUGGGGGAGUGUUGCGGAGCCCUAGUUCGGUUUGGUACUUCCAUAAGAUUAGGUCCUGACCCCGGGUUUCCAUCUGCAUUUGACGAAAGGAGCCCCCGUCUCUGGCUGCGGUCAUUCCUCAAAGAACCUGUUAGAAGUCUGGACCCAUGGGGAAUCCAGAAGGGUUUCCGGAGGAAGGCAAGCUUCAGCUCCAUAGGCCGGGGGACAUGGGGUCCCGCCAGCGGUCCGUCUAGUCGCCGCCAUCGAAGUGGGAGUCCCUAGUGAAGAUGUCCUUUAGGUCCCCCUCGGGUCACUGAUACCCGAGGUCUCGCUCAGUCGCGGCUACCUCAUCGUCGUCGACCUUUUCCUUGCCAGGGCGGCGACGAGGUGGGGAGCCAUCCUUAGAAGACUGCUCACGCCGCUCGCUGACGCGCUUUGUGAGAUUAAUGAUCUCGCGACACUCCGCGGCGCUGUGGCGACCGUUGGGGUGUAUAGGGCACGAGCCGCUGUUACCACUUUGUGGCCGUGGGCGUUUGUUGCGGUCGCCCCAGCCCCCAGUCGUAGCUGCAACGACCAGCGCGGUAGACUGCAGCCUUUCGUAGCCGCGUCCCUUCUUUUUCUUUUUGCCAUCCCGGGGGACGGCGCCCGAGCCACCCGUCUGGGUAGUCCCGGUUUGUGGGGCCGAGUGCCAUGCACGACCCUCGAUGACUCUGGCGCACUUGUCAGCCAGAGCGAAGAGCGUGGGGACAGUCUCCACGUCAUGUGUGGCCAGCUUCUCUAACAUUUUCUUAUCACGUACCCCCUGUCGGAAGGCCGUGAUGAUGGAGGCAUCGGAAAUACGAGGUAUAGUACCCCGUACCUUGGUGAAGCGAGAGAUAAACGUCCGGAGGGUCUCUCCGGGCUCCUGCCUUACUGCGUGCAGGUGGGCCUCCACGCCAUGUUGCUGGUAAGCGCUGGCGAAGUUUGCAACAAACCGUGCGCAGAGCUCUUCCCAGGUGUAGAUUGACCCUGGGGCGAGGUUCAUGAGCCAAGUCCGGGCAGGUCCAGACAAGGCGACAUGAAAAUACGUCGCCAUCACAGCGGUGUUUCUUCCUGCUGCCGUGAUAGCGGUGACGUACACCUGUAGGAACUCCGACGGGUUUGAUGUUCCAUCGUAUUUUUCCGGCAGGUGCGGCCGGAACUUGGGCGGCCAUGACGCUGCACGAAGGUGGUCCGCGAGGGCGGCGUAGCCCACGCCGGCCAAGGGGACACCCGUUUGGGAUCGGGUGCCCAUUGGUGUCUGCGAUGCUGCCGCAGCGAAGUCUUGAUCGAGGCUGCGACCCUCGAUGUUUUGGCGGCGUUCGUGCGCGCUUUCCAAAGAGAUCCGGGCGUCCUCUCCCGUACGCCUGCGGUUGAGUUCUUCCCGGAGGUCGUCGGUCUGUGCACCUCUCAUGGAGGGCGAGCGCACAGACGUUGUCGCCUCGCAUUGGCGUCAGGAUGACCGAGGCCUGGACCUGGUCGAAGUGGAAUGCGCCAUGCCGAGUAGCCGGUCGACGUCGUCACGCCACUGCUUCAUGACCCCUGGUGAAGCCGUGGAGCUAGGAGGGUGGCGUAGCAACUCCCUGGCUACAGACAACGCCAUAGGCGUUGCCCUUGACGGAGUCCGGGAAGCUUGUGCAAGCGUGCGCUGCUGCACGACAUGUACAGCAGCAGUCCCAGACUCAGGGCGGACGGGUACUCGCGGCGCGGAGGAUGCAACUUCUUGCUCCAUCACCAAAUCUUCUGAAGUUUCGGCGCGGUGCUCGAUGAUUCGCACCAUCAUGCUGAGCGGGAAAACAAGCAAAAACUUCAAGCCUAGCGCCCCUACCUGGCGCGCUAAAUGUCGGAGGGGAAAUCUCUUCGGCCAGGUGGCGGAUUGCACCCGCCCUAAAUCCUAAGAAGAGGAGGGGCCUAAGCGUUUUUCUUGUUAUGAGACUGGUGGACGAACACAGAAGAGCACGCGAGGGUUUAGAGUGGUUCGGGCCGCUGGAGCGUAAUACCCUACUCCACUGUGUGAUGUAUUGCUUGAGAGUUUGUGGGAGCUUGUGAGUCUAAGAUUGGUCCCCUUGUAACACCGCAUGCCUCCCCUUUUAUAGCUUAAGGGGGGCAUGCACAAAGGUACUGAGCCCCGACAUAUGGGCCAGGGACAUAGCGAAUACGGCACAUGGAGCCACAAAUGUUUGUUGCUGGGGCGAUCUCCUAGUGCCCUGACACCCGAGAUCUCCGUAUCCUCGGCGUGCAAGGGAGGCUUCUUGCAGAAGGGAUUAUGAGUACAGUGCGCCGCUCGGCACGAGCGCAUUGUUUGCCAACAGACCGGUCAGGCGCGCCGCCUACUGGAUGACCCUAACGCCGCCUACCAUUGGAUUGGACAGGACACAUUAAAUGUUGGGAGGGCACGUCGCCUGCUAGCGUGGUGGCAGGCGGCGCAUCCUUUCCGCAAUUAAUGCAGAGGUUGCUCGGCUUGGUGGGCUUUACGUUAGGCUCGGCCCGUUGGCUUAUGUCACGGGCCACAAGCCACGCGGCAGCAGCGGGGAGCGCAGGACAAGGCUUGGACACGUGCCAGCACCAGACCCCUACUUACGCCAGGGUCCUUCUCGUCCCGGGACCUUGCUAACGCUCGGACCUUACUCGGAGGGGGACUGGGGCCCUCCCAAGGGAUCCAGCGUGCCUUCUUGGGGGCCCUGGACUUGUACGUAUAGGGGUCCGGUGUCCUUCUGCGGGGUCCGAACCCAACGAUGAGUACUGGGAUGUACUACCUUUCCUUACCACGCGACGCCCUUGGACCUGCCCGUAUGGUGGGGUUGGGCGCCAUUCUCCACGUGGCCUUGAGGUGUUGCAUGGGUGCGACGUCUUCAUGCUGUAGAAGAGGGUACCCCUGAUUGAGGGUACUGACAACACUAAACCUAAACACCACAUCUAAGCAAAAGGUUUUAGUGUUACUCUAGAUGCAAGUUAGAGUAACACGCGACCACUUGUACAACUUAACUAUAAGCAUGCAUUGGGUUCCCGUAAUUGACUAGGCAAAAUGGCUAAUUAUGAAAGUAAAGCAAGUAUAAUAUAAAUGUAUUAGAAGAACAAGGAACUUUACUUAAGACUAACAUUGAAUAUCAUUCCUCUGAGACUAAGGGAUGGUAAUUUAACCCGUAAACCCAAAACCUGAUGGGAGUAGGUAUAGGUAAAGAUUUUGACCCAUGGGUCCACUCGCACCCGACAUGAGGUUUCGCGAAUGUGGGUACAUGUUUCUAUUUCAACACACGGGUGGCCCGCACGACCCAAAUUUUGGUUCAUUCUUUAUUUUGCACAAAAAUGAUUAAGAUACAAUAGUAAUUAUUUUAAAUAAAUAAUUUGGCUAAUGAUUCAUGAAAUAUUUUGUCGUUGCUCGUGAAAAGGCUUAAAAUGGGUAGAUGUGACUCAAUUAUUGAUGGUACUUAAUUGAUUAUAGUUGAACUAUUAUUUAAAAGUGUACACUGAGUAAAAAAACCCGCUGAUGACCUGAAACACGAUAGGGUUCGGGUGCGGGUUUAAAAUUGCACCUGUAGGUGCGAUUUCUGGCGGGUUUUUGCUUCACCCGACCUAAACCGACCCAUUGCAUCCCUACUGAGAAUACAAGCUCGGAGAUAGAAAACCCAAUAGAAAUAAUAACUUCCUCACUAGAAAGAGUGCAAUCCAAGCUCGGAGAUAGAAAACCCAAUAGAAAUAAUAACUUCCUCACUAGAAAGAGUGCAAUCCAAAUUUUAAUUACACACAUUGUUGUACUUUCUGCUAGAACAGCAUUGUGCCUUGGAUCGAUAGGUGGGCCUGCCACAUUCGAUGGAAGUCCCACCAUGCCCUUGAUACACAGACUUGGCUUCAAGGUACUGCUAGCAUUCUCUCGAUUCUCCCUGAGGCUCCGUUUACGCCAUCGGCAGGUCAUGGCUUCGCUCUAGAUGGAGCCUUCAUUUGGGGCUUUGUGACCCACGCUGGAGCAGGUGGCAGCCGGCCAGCCGCAAACACUCGAGCUCUUUGAAGGGCUCGGUUUUUGGUAGGCGAAAUCUCUCCGAGGUCUAGGAUCCUCGACGAUUCGUUCACUUCCAUUUGAGUUCAAACAUGCGUGCUUUCAGGGGCGGAGGGCCUAGGGUCCAUUGUGGCUAGGUAUAGCUCAAGCUAUAGCUAAUGAGAAAGGUGAUAAAGGUCACAAACCAUAUAAUUCACAACUCGCCCUUUAAGUAUUAUAAGAAGUCAUUUAAGUAGAAUGAUAGGCAAAUGCAAUUGUCUAGGUCUUUAAAACUUAUCUAGCAAAAUUUAUCAGUAUGAUAUUGUAUUAUCAGUAUAACAUCACUAUACGCCCGCUUUGCACGUACGCUUUGAACGUACGAGCAGAUGCAAGCAAAAGUAGGUUUAAAAUAGCUUAUUUUGUAUCCGCUCGUGCAGUCCGUAUCUUAUAUAUGUAGACAACUAAAUAUAAGUUUAGAGAAAGUUAACGCAGACGUACGGAGACGAACGAGGAACAUGCCUCGCCAAACAGGAAAUAAAAUUGAACACGGUCAACUCGCUAGCUCUAAAAUAAAUCCGCGCGCCCUUCAAUGGUAGGUUGCAACUAUUCCUCUGUAGCGCAGAUCAUUCUGAUUGCAAUCCAUCCGAUGAUCCACAUCCUAUGUUGCAGCAGCUUUGCUCGACGCAAAUCCACACGCAACUCGGCCGGACUGGGGGCUUCCAAUAUCGGAUGAACGACCGCGUCGGAUGCAUGCAUCGAUCGUGUCAGAUGGACAGUUACAGGCACGAUCAGCAAAGGAGCCAUUGGCAAUUUUGCCAUUAUCAUUUGUGGGCUUCACCAGUAUGUAAUCGGACCCACAAAUUAUAGACACAGACGGUCCCACCAGUCAUAGACAUGGGAUGACAUAAUAACAGACAGCUAAAAUUGAGAGUGACAAAACAGCAAAUUUCUCUCAGCAAAGGUAGUCGCGCCUUUUUCCAUGAUGUGGCGUGCUGUCUUAGUUGCAGCACCUAGUUUUAACGGAAAACAAGCGGCUGCAUCCACCGUUUCCCCUGCAGCGGCGUGCAGUGGCCAAAUUUGGAGGUCGUAGUAUACUGACAGACCGAAAGCACCCACCAGAAACCACAUCCAACAAUAACAGGGCCUAAAAUCCAAGUCCUGAUCAAGAGAGAUUCUUGCAACAGUUUUUUCACGUAAAAGCCAAAGCCAUAAUUAGAGUUUGUCUCACGGAGUUAGUGCAUCGUGUCGUGUGGGCAGGUUUUUGUCGAAGAAACGAACCCAUCUCGUGUUUAGUUGAAGUUUCGGGCGCUUUUGGCCAUUUUAGUCACUAGUACAAAAAAAAAAAAACUCUUGCUGCGGCGAGGUCUAAUUCCUACGUGUUUUGGUUAUGAGCGUCGGUGAAAAUAAAAUGGUCGGCUCAAUUUAAGUAAAAAAAUCAUAUAUUUGUACUGACGGUUUUCUUAAUAGAAAUCAUUUCUAAUCUGACUUUUUUUUAGUUUUUCAAAUACCCUCGUUUGAAAACCACCGAAAUAAAAGUUGUAGGUCUCUAGAAGUUAUGAAACUUUGUAGUUGAGAACUUUUUAUUUUUAUUUUCUAGUUGAAAUCAUCUGGUCUCUCAAAAUCGCAAAUAAAUUUAUGAAAUUUGAAAUGCAAAUUUUGGAAACGGCCUCGGAUGAAAAAAAAAGGUACCCAAAUAAAAGGUAUAACUUUGUAGUUGACAACUUUUACGUUUGAAUUUGGUUACGGCCCCAACCAAUUAGUUUACACUCGGUUUAUUCUGAUAUGUGGGUAGCAAAACUGUAAUCUAUAGACACAAGUAAGUUCUAGACAGAAAGUAAGUAACGAGUGGAGUGAUAGAGGACGCUACGCGCGAAGGUGAGAUCGGGAGUUUGAUCGCUAUCAGCCGCGUAGCACGCAAAAAAAUGCAAAAUAUUUUUGUUGUUUUUGAAAUCCAGUUUAUAUUUUCUGAAAUAUAAUUGUUCGAUUUCCACUGGCUAAUAUAAUAUUGAGUGGCUAAUAGGAGCAGAUGGUGUUUCAUAGUACAUUGGAGACGGGCAAGCACGUGAAUGGAUUAGAGAGCGACGUGAUGCAUACUCUAUUCUUGCAGCUUUCCAGCUUUGAUGGACAGCAUAAUCCGCCGAGAUUCACAGAUCAAAAGUAAAUGUACGUUCACAAAAAACACGAUACGUAAUAACACUAUGUAGUCAGUUUAUACAGCUUGACGAGAUGACCACAAAUAAGACUAUGUAGUUAGUUUAUACAACUUGACGAGAUGGCCGAGUUGGUCUAAGGCGCCAGAUUAAGGUUCUGGUCCGAAAGGGCGUGGGUUCAAAUCCCACUCUCGUCAAAUUAUUUUAUAUUUUUUUAUAUAUGAUUUACAAGCCCACACUCAUCAGAGUUAUUUUGUAGUUUAUAUAUGAUCACUAGGAAUAUUUUUCUUGGUUUUCUAUAGUAAUUUUGUCCACGCUCGUCAAAUUAUUUUGCGUUUUUUUCAUAUAUAACCUACAAGACCACACUCAUCGGAGUUAUUUUGUAGACCAGGAAUAUUUUCUAAGUUUUCCAUAGUAAUUUUGUUUCUCCUUGUCGUGAUGACCUCCAAAUUGUUUUGUAUUUUUUUCAUAUAUGAUUUACAAGCCCACACUCAUCAGAGUUAUUUUGUAGUUUUAUAUAUGAUCACUAGGAAUAUUUUUCUUGGUUUUCCAUAUUAAUUUUGUCCACGCUCGUCAAAUUAUUUUGCAUUUUUUUCAUAUAUAACCUACAAGACCACACUCAUUGGAGUUAUUUUGUAGACCAGGAAUAUUUUCUAAGUUUUCCAUAGUAAUUUUGUUUCUCCUUGUCGUUAUGACCUCCAAAUUGUUUUGUAUUUUUUUCAUAUAUGAUUUACAAGCCCACACUCAUCAGAGUUAUUUUGUAGUUUUAUAUAUGAUCACUAGGAAUAUUUUUCUUGGUUUUCCAUAGUAAUUUUGUCCAGCUCGUCAAAUUAUUUUGUAUUUUUUUUUCAUAUAUGACCUACAAGACCACACUCAUCGGAGUUAUUUUGUAGAGUAGGAAUAUUUUUCUAAGUUUUCCAUAGUAAUUUUGUUUCUCGUUGUCGUUAUGACCUCCAAUGUCCCCCUCCUCGCCAAUUUUUUUUCUAUACGACCUACAAUCCUACACUCACCAAAGUUAUUUUGAACUCCCUUUGUUCCAAAUCAAUAUUUAUUUUAGCUCUUAAUUUUUAUGUUCAUAUUAAAAUGAAUGAUGAUGAAUCUAGACACGUAUAAAACACGUAUAUCAAGUAUUGUAUAAUUCAUUAGAAUUCUAAAACGACUUUUUAAUUUGAGAGAGAGGGAGUAGUUUUUUAUAUAUGAUCACCAGUAAUAUUUUUCUUGGCUUUAGAUACUAAUUUUGUUUCUCCAAUGACCCUCUCGUCAAGUUUUGUUUACUUUCUUUAUCUAUAUAACCUACAAUAUCACACUCAUCAAAGUUAUUCUGUAGUUUUUAAAUUAGAGCAGAAGGUGCACUUCGUACACCCUACCGUGGCCAUGGUUAAGAUGAGGGAUAUAUAAAAAUUAUGUGGCACAAAACAUGCCACAUGUAACCUUAAGAUCAUUCCAGCCUAUUCUAAAAUCAUAAUGAUGGGAACUGGCUAUCGCUGGGUGGGUAAAUUCUUCCAAAUUUGCAGUUAAAGAAAUGUCAUAAUAGUUUUUUUCCCUAGAAGAGUCAACUUUUAUCGACUAAUCAACUUCACAAUGUUUUUGUUUGAAGUGCAAGCAAAAGUGGAAAUGGGACUGCAAGUGAAUUGAUAUGGAAUGACAAAGAGUGAUGACAAGAGGAAGAGGUAGAAAAGGCGGGGUUAGCUACCUGGUUCCAUGCUAGCAUGGGUGAGAAGAUGAAGUGCAAAUCUUUUCUAUUAAAACCUGACCCGUUUUGAAGCCCUCUCCGCGCUUCCCGCGUACGGUGGCGCGUGCGCGCCGACGCGUGCGCGGUGUUUCGGACUCGAGGCCUUUCUCCAACUCGCUUUUGAACCUCGGUCGCGUCCACCGGUCUUCGGCUGCUCCCAACCCUGGCCAAGAACUCGCAGCCCUGCCUCCAUCCCGUGGUGGGCGCGGAUGGCGGCGGUGAGCGCCGGCGCAAGGGCGGCCUCGGCGGCGGCGAAGAAGGUCGGCGCGGCGGAGGCGUCGUCCGGGAGGAGGGAGAAGUCCUCGUACCCGCCGGGGCAGCGGAGCGGCGCCGCGUGGACUGGCACGGACGCCGGUGCGAGGGCCGCGAAGUGUGCCGUGGUGACGAUGGCGGCCGUGGUGGUGGCGGCGACCUCGUGCUCUGUACCGGCGGCUGCGGAGGAGGCCGCUUUGGCCGCGAGCGGGGCGAAGUGGCUGCGCUCGAGGAAUGGCACGAAGACGAGGUGGAGAGGCGAGCGGGGCGAGGUGGCUGCGCUUUGUGGUUUCUGUAGUUCUAUAUGCAUUAGGUGGCACUAGGGUCCAGAUUCAGAAUAUGAGUACUGGUAUGUAUUUUCCAUUUUAUAUUUUUUCAGUAUUGCCACUAUAUCUGUAUCCUACUCAAUCAUAAAUCAAGAUCUUGCACUUGGUUGCUUCCCCGGUGUGAAGAUGGUCCACAUCAGACUGCAAUCUAAAUUGUUUACUGUGAACUAGAACUUCUGCAUACACAUACGUGGAUUUGUACAUGUACAAAAUCUGCAAUGCCUCAGAUUUUAUGCACCCUCGGCAACUGGCGGAAUCCAAGGUGGCCUGGUAGAAAAGGGGCCUCCACCGCUCAUCUUGUAGGCUACAGCUACAAAUCAGAUAAUAAAACUCUAUUAGAAAAUGCUAGAUGUUGAAGGUAGCGAGAAAGAGAAUCUUGAAGAAGAAAUAGGUGUUUUGAGAAGUCAGUUAUUGCAUAUGAGUAUGGAAGUUGAUGAGGUAAUUGAUACUAUCAUUGUCAAGGAUUUUGCCCCUGGGAAUCUGCUAUUUCUUUUUAUAACUCAUUUUUGUUUCUGACUUGAACAUGCUACCCUAACAUAGUCGGUUUGUUUUCUCUUCAUUCUUAUUUGGUCACAUCAGACAAGAAGUCUUGAUAAAGGAGAUGGACCCAAAAAAAUUUCCUGGUUUAGAUUCAUUGGUGUCCUAGACUCGAGGUUCGCAACCCAGAGAGCAGAGCAAUGGACUGAAGCAACCAAUUGCCAAAUUCUUUGAACAAGGUAUUAGUUAUUUAUUCUUUUAUAGGACCUGCUUGAUCUGCCUACUUCCUGUAAUUUUGUAGAUGGUGUGCAAAAGGAUUUAUUGUCCUAGCAAGUUCAGCUUUCUCAUAAAUUAAAAUACUACCUGUUCGUAUGUACUACUUCUAGCACAUUAGACUGCAAGGACACUUGUGCAGAUGCACUGUUUCUAACAAUAUGGAAUAUGUUGAAAGUUUUUUUCACACAAACAAAAAAUGCUACCUGUCCCACUGUGCUAUCUUUAAGAACUAAGAGGUUGAAGUCUAUGCAUUAUUGCCCCUUUCUGGAUUCUGAUGAUGUUUAAGAUAAGUGUCAGCUUCUGAUCACUUGACUACUUUAUUGGUACUCAUACCUGUUAAAAAGCUUACUGCAAAAUGUUGUCGUGAUCUUUGUGCCUACUUUGCAUAUCACAUAAAUUAGCGGAUAAGUCACAUAGGAUUACAAACAUAGCUCUUUAUAUAGUGAUGAAUUUCUGAGGAGACUAAGUGGUCCUAAACCUAAGUACUCCUCAGAAAAGGAGUACUCGUGGCAUGCCUGUUACUCCUUGCCCGCAUUAUGUGAAUGCUAGCAUGUGAUAAAAAUACAAGUCAUGUAAAGUUCAAGAGCUGAUCACAUUUAAUACUCGUGGCAUGCCUGUUACUCCGAAGCUUUAACAUACUCAGCGAUCCUUCUCAAUUUUCCUCAAAUUUGAGGAUUAGCCUCUACCUUCCCGUCCCUCAAAGCACAAAGCCAUGUAGAAUCGAGAGGAAUCUCGGAGAUCAGGAGAAGAAAAAUAGGGACAGUGGAAGAAUACAUAUCUCAACUCCAGUCCUUGCAAUAUGAUUUUACCAUGCACAGCUGCCAGCUUGCCACUAUAACGACCUCUUAUUUGCUUCGAAGUAUGUCAGUGGCCUCAAAGAUGAAAUCAGGGCAACAGCCGAACCUGAAGUGCCUUGUACAGUGGACAGAGCAUUUGUCGUUGCUAAAAUCCAACAAAGGGUCUUAGACAGAAGCAAACUCAAAUAACACAGAAAUCCUGCCACACAAGAACCGCCACAAUUCAGACAUGAUAAAAAAAACUGUAUGGUAACUUGUGGAGGGACGAGCAAUCCAGAGAGUAUUUUAAGGCCAACAAUCUCUAUUUCCAUUGUGGGGAGAAGUUUGAGCAACGCCAUGCAGAGGUCUGUAUCAAGAGAAACAAACCUCAAAUGAAGGUUGUGGUUCUUAUUCUUAAUGACUUGGAUAAGGAGCUAAAUGGAGACCUCCUGAAUGAGAUGGCUGUAGCAAAGAUACUCAGUGAAGACUUUUGCCAACCCUCCCUUAAUGCCUUGGCGGGGACUAAAUCUACUCAUUGUAUCAAAUUGAAAACCACAGUGAAGAACAAAACCAUGCUUAUCUUGGUCGAGAGAGUAUAUACAGGGAGAGUGAUGAAGUAGAGAGAGAACCUGAGAGCGAGAGAAUGAGUGGGAGGGCAUGUUCUGGUGCCUGCAUUACUUCUGUGAGUUGGACAGCUGGGAUAACUUGGGGGGCUAGAAAGCUCUACAAGUGGCUCCUUGACCUGUGCAUAGCAUGUAUUGACGGACGAACUCUCGAUCACACCGGAUGAUCCGCUAGAGCAUAAACUUACAUCUGUAAGCCACUGUAUUUUUAUUUCAGUACUCCUUUUUAUUAUUAGGUACUCAGUUUACACCUUGUGCGACAUUGUUAUUAGUAUUUGUUCAGGCCACGGGCUGUUGCCAAACAAAUGAUUGUUAUAUGUGAUUAUUUGUAACGAUAAUUUAUUCAGGCCACGAGCUGUUGCCAAACAAAUGAUUGUUGUUAGUACUAAUCUUAAGGUACUUCUGGACUUUCUGAUUUUGUGUCCGCAUCAAAAUAUUUAUCUUAUACACUAUGAUAUAUAGUUUAAUUUGUUCCCCUACUUGCGUGAGCUGUCUAGCGCCCGAUAGGGCGCUUCCUUUUCUAGUGUCAAUAAUACCGUGUAGUUUUUGUUGAAUGCCUUCUUAGUUUGUCGUCCUGGUUCAAUGCUUUCUCAGUUUGCAUUGUUGGACUCGUACUAUGUGAGACUUGAAUGGUUUGUAUCACUUCUAUAGUUUGCUAUGUGGGGUAUGGUUUGCUAUGUCAAAUUUGAUAUUUAUGGUUUGAUAUGUCAGAUUUGAUAUACUUUAUGCUACUAUUUUGGCUGUUUAAUAUAUUUUGAAUUGUUUCCAAAAUAAUGUUCAAUUUUAGCAAAAAUGAUAUAAAAAUAAUUACAGAAAAUGCUACCAAAAUAGUAUCGAAAAUCAUUGCUUAUUUAAAUAAAAUUUACUUAAAUUCAAAACACUGACAAAGUUAAAUUCAUAAAUUACACUCGGUUAAAUUUAUGCGGGAUUUAGCUUAAACUUAUGUUCUAAAAUCUCAAAGCCCAACAGGGCCAAUGGUACAAAUUUAGAUAUGCGGCCUGCGGCCAGAGCAACGACGGAAGGGCAUAUGCGUCUUUUUUCUGUUUUAUUCAACCACGUUAAGCAUCCAUGACAGAGCAGGGUAAACGUCGAGUUUAAAAUCCUCGAUAUAGACGUACACUAGUUAGGGCAUGUACAAUGGGUGUCUUAAGUUGUGUCUUAGAGUGUGUCUACAGGGGUGAAUGUAAAAAAACUUAAGACAUGUAUCUUGACGAAGACAUAGUAUCUUAGCUCUAUGUUCGAGACAGGAGACUAGCUGAUUGGUCACUUUAAUUUAUUGAAUGCUCUGAUUGGUACAAUGAAUAUGGUAAGACACAUGUUUUAGACAUGACCACUGUAUUAUGUUGUGUUUUAGUUGUGUCUUAUACUUGAAGUACCGUGCAGCAGUGUCUAGGUUGUACAUGCCUUUAGACGUUCGUGAGUACCGAGUUACGACGAUACACAUAUAGCUGUGGGGAGAAUCUGGCUGUGUAGAGAAUCUGAGUGUCAUUAGGAUUACGUGCGGAGGAAGAUAAAGUUGUCCAUGAGGCUCAUGAUCUAUAAAGUGACGGAUUACUACUAUUGCGACGACUCAACCGAUUAUAUGUUUAUGUUGAUUUUGAAUGGUUUUUAUCCAAACGAAUAUUAUAGAAGCUGACUGAAAAGCUGAGUAUUUGGCAGUCCGCAGUAGCUUUUGGUGGCCAGAAGCUGUGAAAAGCCGAAACAAACAAACACAUACUCUACUACUUAUUAGUCGUUGCCCGCUUGUCUAGAAAACUUCGUCUUCUGUGUCUUCCACCCCCUCGCCUGCCUGCGUCCUCUAGGCCUUAAGACUAGCCGCAGCGGUAGACGCUGCCUCUCCUCCUCCCCUUGCAUGCGGCGCGUAGGGGGCACCCUAUGGCCGCAGCGGUGCCCCUACAGCGCCCCCUACGUGUCGGUCCCCUUCUUUCUCCCCCAGAUUUAGCGUGUCACUAUUCAUCACCCUAAACACUGUGCUGUGGGUCCACGAGUAAUUGUUAGUAGAUAAAAAAUUGAUAGUUGAUAUAGAAAAUGAUAUUUUAUAGUGGUAGUGGGGUAUAGGGGGAGUAUUUAGGGGAAACCGCUGCGGGAGAUAAAAAAUAGGGGGAAAAAUAGGGGGGAAAAGUGAUAUAGGGGGAAAAAUUUAGGGGUAACGGUUGCGGAUAGCCUAAGCAGCCGCCGCCACCCGCGCCGGCAUGGCCCGCUCACCUAGAAACCAUCGUCGUGUACUCAACGAGGUGAAGUAGCAGGCUAUGCUCGAAAUCGGCUCGUGAGUUGCAUCCAUGUGAUCAGGGGCGGAUCCAGAAUUUUUCUAUGAUCCGGGCCAAAUCUAAAAAAUUUGUUUCUCUUUAUUUUAUCUUAAGUAUUUUAUACAGUAUUAAAUAGAGACUUAUAUAUAAUUACAUGGAUCAAGCCCCGGGCCAUGGACCGGGUGGCCCGGGGUGUAGAUCCGCCCCUGCAUGUGACUUACGUUAUUAUAAUUAAAUAAUAGGUAGCAACAAUUCUGAUAUGCCAUUUGUUCCCAAUAAUAAUCAACUAUGUUUUUCAAGUUCAAGUUCACAUAAGUGUCCACAAAUUCAUAUAAAUGCAGCUAUAUACAUUUCUUUCAAUCAAGACUAGCGAAGAUCGUUCUUUCUACCCUCUGGCAUCAAGAUACAACAUUAGAUUGAAGGACUGAUAGACAAAUAAGAGACAAAUAAGGUAAUGUUAUUAUAACAAUAAAUUUUUUAAUAGGCAAACUUUGCAUGACUAUUCUUAUAUAGAGAUUAAAGCAAUGGUUAGUUGAAGCCAAGACAAAUAUGCAGUUUAGUGGAAAAGGAAAAUUUCCAUUCAGUUGAUCUUUUUGCCUAAUUUUGGUCUAUAAUUUUGAUUUUAUAGAUGAAUCUGGCAAGCAAGUCUAGAGCACAGUUAGGAUCAAGAACGUCACCAAUUUCCAGCCUUCAAGGUUACAACCAUUUGUCACUACGAAGUUCUAGAUGUAACUUAAUUUUGAUUAACAACACAAUUUAUGGCCAUACAUAUGUUAUUGUUACACUAUUUUUUCCCGUUGCAACACACGGGUACUUACCUAGUUAUACCGUUAUUUUUGUUUUUUUACCCUUUUUUCGAAAGAUUUUCACAAGUACGCCCUUUCUGGUUUGAAUUCUGGAAAAUGGACCCUUACCUCGGCGCUAUUAUUAUUGGCACCUAGAUUAUACAUAUCGACGCCAAUAUAAAUAACACCGAAAUAUUGCUCCGGUAUAUCGAGCUGGUGCCUACAUGGCAAGAGGUCGACGCCGUGUCAUUGACGCCGACCUCUUAGAAAAUAGCCGCACGGCCAACAUACGUGGUGCGGUACGUGCGCGUGUAUAUAUAUUAGUAUAAUAUAUAUUUUAUUAAUAUUAUAUAUAAUAUAUUAAUAUUAUAUAAUAUAUUAGUAUAUUUAUUUAUAUAAAAAUAUAAAUUUAUAUACCUAUAUAUUUGUGUAUAUAUAUAUAAUUUCACAACCCUAAAGUACCUAUAUAUCAUAAACAAAAUUAAGUUAUAUAGACCUACUCAAAAGUCGGAAGCGUGUUUUGUUUAUGACACCUUCUUACUCAAGCAUCUAAGCACUUUAGGGUUGUGAUCUGGAAACCUCUAAUUAUGGUACCCGACAAGUACUUAUGUGUGCGACUUAUAUAUUGUUUUUACGUAACAACAAUAUGUGUUUUCUUUUAGUUGUUCAUGAAGAUGUUAGCUAAAACUCAUUAGUUGCAUGCGCUUAUGUAGUCUGGUUUUAAGACUUGUUAGUUGUGUGAGUGCUUAUAUCACCAUAUAUAAACAUUGUAUCAUGUGAUUUUGUAGUAAAUCAUACAAAUGCUACAGAAAUAUAUCAUUCAAACAUUAUAACCACUUUUUUACAAGCCUCAAAGUGUUACACAUAUUCAUGUCAUCAACCUUUGAGUAUGUCUGUAUAACUCAAUAAAAUUAGGUCUAAGUACAAAUGUGUGUGUAUAUAUAUUUAUAUUUUUAUAUAAAUAAAUAUACUAAUAUAUUAUUUAUUUAUACUAAUAUAUAUAGUUUAUAUAUUAAGAGCCCUGGGCUUCCAAUAACUAGAGGAAGCCCAGGUCGGACGGUGUAACCCGGUCGAGCCGGACCAGGUCUGGACUUCUAUAAAACAGGACCCGGAGUGCUAGGGUUCAGUUUUUUUACGCUCCACCCCGAUUCAUUAGCGACGCCGCGUGCGACGAGGCGGUUGCUCUAGAGCAUGCGCGGCGGUGGACCCCCAGCCGGUGGCCGUAGCUCCAUGACCUCGAUGCGCGGUGGCGGAGGUUCCUCGAUUCGGAGUAGUGGCGGCGGCUGAAAGUCGCCUAGAGGGGGGUGAAUAGGUGGAAUCUGAAAAUUAUAAACUUAAGAACAACUACAAGCCGGGGUUAGCGUUAGAAAUAUAAAUGAGUCCGAAAGAGAGGGCGCAAAAACAAAUCAACCAAGGAAAUAGAGCGGAUGACACGGUGAUUUGUUUUACCGAGGUUCGGUUCUUGCAAACCUACUCCCCAUUGAGGUGGUCACAAAGACCGGGUCUCUUUCAACCCUUUCCCUCUCUCAAACUGUCACUUAGACCGAGUGAGCUUCUCUUAUCAAUCAAAUGGGUCACUAAGUCCACUACAAGGGCCACCACACAAUUGGUGUCUCUUGUUUUGAUUACAAGUGUUGUGGAAACAAGAAUGAGGAAGAAGAAAAGCAAUCCAAGUGCAAGAGCUCAAAAGAACACAAAUGUCUCUCUCUCUAGUCACUAAUUUGUUUGGAGUGAUUCUGGACUUGGGAGAGGAUUUGAUCUCUUUGGUUGUGUCUUGUAUUGAAUGUUAUAGCUCUUGUAUGGGGUUUGAAGUCUGAAAACUUGGAUGCAAUGAAUGGUGGGUGGUUGGGGGGUAUUUAUAGCUCCAACCACCAAAGUAGCCGUUGGUGGAGGCUGCUGUCGCAUGGCGCACCGGACAGUCCGGUGCGCCACCGGACACUGUCCGGUGCGCCAGCCACGUCACCCGGUCGUUAGGGUUCGACCGUUGGAGCUCUGACUUGUGGGGCCACCGGACAGUCCAGUGGUGCACCAGACAGGUCCUGUAGACUGUCUGGUACGCCUUCUGGCGCCUGCUCUGACUUCUGCGCGCGCAGGCGCGCACUGUAGCGCAUUUAAUGCCUUCGCAGACGAUCGUUGGCGCGAAGUAGCCGUUGCUCCGCUGGCAUACCGGACAGUCCGGUGCAACACCGGACAGUCCGGUGAAUUAUAGCGGAGUGGCUCCCAGAAUUCACGAAGGUGGCAAGUUCGGAGUUAGGUUCCCUGAUGCACCGGACACUGUCCGGUGGUGCACCGGACAGUCCGGUGCGCCAGACCAGGGCACACUUCGGUUGUCUUUUGCUCCCUUUGUUUGAACCCUUUCUUUUGACUUGUAUUGGUUUGUUGUGAACCUUUGGCACCUGUAGAACUCAUAAUCUAGAGUAAACUAGUUAGUCCAAUAAUUUGUGUUGGGCUAUUCAACCACCAAAAUUCAUAUGGAAAAGGUUUGACCCUAUUUCCCUUUCAAUCUCCCCCUUUUUGGUGAUUGAUGCCAACACAAAUCAAAGCAAAUAAAGAAGUGCAGAAUUGAACUAGUUUGCAUAAUGUAAGUGCAAAGGUUGCUUGUAAUUGAAACCAAUAUACUUAUUUCAAUAGAUAUGCAUGGAUGGUUUUUCUUCUUAUUAAAAUUUUGGACCACAAUUGCACCACGGGUUUUGUUUUUCAAAUUCUUUGUAAAAUUCUUUUCAAAAACCUUUUGCAAAUAGUCAAAGGUACAUGAAUAACAUUGAAGAAAGCAUUUUCAAGAUUUGAAAUUUUCUCCCCCUGUCUCAAAUGCUUUUCCUUUGAUUAAAACAAAACUCAUCCUAAAUAAAAUUCUCCUCUUAGUGUUCAAGAGGGUUUUGCAAAUUUUGAAGAUACUACUUUCUCCCCCUUUUGAACACAAUAAGAUAUCAAUUUAAAAAAACUUCAUUUUUAAAAUUCGGUGGUGGUGCGUUCCUUUUGCUUUGGGCUCAUACUUUCUCCCCCUUUGGCAUGAAUCGCCAAAAACGGAUACUUGUGAGUGAAAUACAAGCCCUUUUAACCUUUCUCCUCCUUUGGCAAAAAAAUAUGAGUGAAGGUUAUACCAAGGUGGAGAACGAUGCGGAGUACCUAUAAAUAUAAUUGGAGUUGAGUGGAAACGCCUUCUUUGCCGAAUACUCCAUUUCCCUUUCAAUAUCUAUGACUAAGCAUAAGAUGAUACUUGAAAACACAUUAGUCAUAGACAUAAAAGAGAUAUGAUCAAAGGUAUAUAAAUGAGCAAUGUGUGCAAAGAAUCAAUCAAAAUUUCUAGAAUCAAGAAUAUUUAGCUUAUUCCUAAGUUUGGUAAAGGAUUGCUCAUCUAGUGGCUUGGUAAAGAUAUCGACCAAUUGAUCUUUGGUGUUUAUAUAGGCUAUCUCGAUAUCCCCCUUUUGUUGGUGAUCUCUCAGAAAGUGAUACCGAAUGGCUAUGUGCUUAGUGUGGCUGUGUUCAACGGGAUUAUCCGCCAUGCGGAUUGCACUCUCAUUGUCACAUAGGAGAGGGACUUUGCUAAACUUAUAGCCAUAGUCCCUAAGGGUUUGCCUCAUCCAAAGCAAUUGCGCGCAACAAUGGCCUGCGGCAAUGUACUCGGCUUCGGCGGUAGAAAGAGCUACUGAAUUUUGUUUCUUUGAAGCCCAAGACACCAGGGAUCUUCCCAGAAACUGACAAGUCCCUGAUGUGCUUUUCCUAUUGAUCUUACACCUUGCCCAAUCAGCAUCGGAAUAUCCUAAUAAAUCAAAUGAGGAUCCCUUGAGGUACCAAAGACCAAACUUAGGUGUGUGAACUAAAUAUCUCAAGAUUCGCUUCACGGCCCUAAGGUGAACUUCCUUAGGGUCAGCUUGGAACCUUGCACACAUGCAUACGGAAAGCAUAAUGUCAGGUCGAGAUGCACAUAAAUAGAGUAAAGAACCUAUCAUCGACCGGUAUACCUUUUGAUCUACGGAUUUACCUCC